AGGGUUUGAUUAUGGCUCAGGACGAACGCUGGCGGCGUGCCUAACACAUGCAAGUCGAACGGGGAUCAUGAAGCGGAAGUUUUCGGAUGGAAGGUUCAUGAUUCUAGUGGCGCACGGGUGAGUAACGCGUGAACAACCUGCCUUUCAGUGGGGGAUAACACCUGGAAACAAGUGCUAAUACCGCAUGAGACCACGACCUGGCAUCGGGAUGGGGUCAAAGAUUUAUCGCUGAAAGAGGGGUUCGCGUCCCAUUAGGUAGUUGGUGAGAUAACAGCCCACCAAGCCGACGAUGGGUAGCCGAGCUGAGAGGCUGAUCGGCCACACUGGAACUGAGACACGGUCCAG
rnacentral:rRNA from 1 species